rnacentral:rRNA from 1 species
CGAUGCCCAAUGAGUGAUAAGCUCGUAGUUGGAUAUCUGGAUUGAGUUUGUUCGUGAUUCCACAGCAAUUCAGUUCAUCCUUCUGUUAAGCACCUUGUACUUGUACCGGGUGUCAGCUCAUAUAUUUUACCUUGAGAAAAUUAGAGUGUUUCAUGCAGGUAGACGGAAACAACAGCGUGGAAAAAAAAAAUUGACACGACCCCUGGGUGGCCGGAGAGGUUUAAUGUUUAAAAGGAACGGGGGGGGGGGUGGAUUUUUUUAUUAAAGGGGGAAAAUCUGUUGGUUUUUUUAAAAAUAAAGGAAAAGUUUUU